rnacentral:hammerhead_ribozyme from 1 species
GCAUUGCUGACGAGUCCCAAACAGGACGGAACGGCUGUCCAGUGC